rnacentral:lncRNA from 1 species
CAAGCCAUGAGCCACGUGUCAAAGUGUAGAAGACUCAACUAUCUGUCCAGCUUGCAUACUGUGAUGAAGUACUCAUGUUGGAGAGGCCCAUAUGGCAAGAAACUGAUCAGUCUCCAUGCAACAGCAGCAAAGAACCGAGGUCCUCAAUCCAGUAAACCACAUGAGUUUGGAAUCAGUCAAGCCUUCAGGGAAAGGAUCAUGACUCCACUGCACUUGGCACGGGCAUGUUGAUGAGUGAAAACUUCUGGCCUUUGCCCCUCUUCAGCAGCACAUCAGCUGUGGACAUUUAUUUUUUAAUUUCAUGUGUAU